GCAGUCGCCGCGGUAAUACGUAGGUGGCAAGCGUUGCCCGGAAUUAUUGGGCGUAAAGGGCUCGCAGGCGGUUUCUUAAGUCUGAUGUGAAAGCCCCCGGCUCAACCGGGGAGGGUCAUUGGAAACUGGGAAACUUGAGUGCAGAAGAGGAGAGUGGAAUUCCACGUGUAGCGGUGAAAUGCGUAGAGAUGUGGAGGAACACCAGUGGCGAAGGCGACUCUCUGGUCUGUAACUGACGCUGAGGAGCGAAAGCGUGGGGAGCAAACAGGAUUAGAUACCCCCGUAGUCCCUGUCUCUUAUAC
rnacentral:rRNA from 1 species